GCGAGUCAUUGUAGUAAUACAAGGCAGACGGCUCAGUAACGCGUACUUUCCUAACCUAUGGACGGGAAUAACCUCGGGAAACUGACCUUAAUGCCCGAUAGAACAUUAUACCUGGAAUGGUUUAUGUUCCAAAUGAUUUAUCGCCGUAGGAUGGGACUGCGCCCUAUCAGUUUGUUGGUGAGGUAAUGGCCCACCAAGACUAUUACAGGUACGGGCUCUGAGAGGAGUAGCCCGGAGAUGGGUACUGAGACACGGACCCAGGCCCUAUGGGGCGCAGCAGGCGAGAAAACUUUGCAAUGUGCGAAAGCACGACAAGGUUAAUCCGAGUGGUUUCUGCUAAAGGAACCUUUUGUCGGUCCUAGAAACACCGAUGAAUAAGGGGUGGGCAAGUUCUGGUGUCAGCCGCCGCGGUAAAACCAACACCUCAAGUGGUCAGGAUGAUUAUUGGGCCUAAA
rnacentral:rRNA from 1 species